rnacentral:rRNA from 1 species
AGCUUGCUCCCUGAUGUUAGCGGCGGACGGGUGAGUAACACGUGGGUAACCUGCCUGUAAGACUGGGAUAACUCCGGGAAACCGGGGCUAAUACCGGAUGGUUGUCUGAACCGCAUGGUUCAGACAUAAAAGGUGGCUUCGGCUACCACUUACAGAUGGACCCGCGGCGCAUUAGCUAGUUGGUGAGGUAACGGCUCACCAAGGCGACGAUGCGUAGCCGACCUGAGAGGGUGAUCGGCCACACUGGGACUGAGACACGGCCCAGACUCCUACGGGAGGCAGCAGUAGGGAAUCUUCCGCAAUGGACGAAAGUCUGACGGAGCAACGCCGCGUGAGUGAUGAAGGUUUUCGGAUCGUAAAGCUCUGUUGUUAGGGAAGAACAAGUGCCGUUCAAAUAGGGCGGCACCUUGACGGUACCUAACCAGAAAGCCACGGCUAACUACGUGCCAGCAGCCGCGGUAAUACGUAGGUGGCAAGCGUUGUCCGGAAUUAUUGGGCGUAAAGGGCUCGCAGGCGGUUUCUUAAGUCUGAUGUGAAAGCCCCCGGCUCAACCGGGGAGGGUCAUUGGAAACUGGGGAACUUGAGUGCAGAAGAGGAGAGUGGAAUUCCAC